rnacentral:lncRNA from 1 species
GAAUUCAGUUGCCUCACAACCCUGGACCUAUCACUGUACAGUUUAUAAACCAGUGGAUGAACGAUACAGAUUAUUUUCUUGGGCAUCAUGAUCGGAAGAUGUGUAUAAUAGGACUGAGUAUCCUUUUUGAAUUGCAAAAUCGACCUCCUGCAGUAGAAGCUGUGGUGGGACAGAUUGUCCCUUCAAUACUUUUCCUUUUCCUUGGCCUAAAGCAGGUCUGUGCCAGUAGGCAACUGGUAAACCGGGAAGAUCGCUCAAAAGCAGAGAAAGUUGACAUAGAAGAAAAUGGUAAAGUCUUAUAUGGUGCUAGAAUUGAUUGUGAUUUGAGCAUUGUUUUCUUUGACUUUUAGUCUGUUUGGCUUCAUUAAACAGAUUUACAUUCUUUGGCUUGCUGAACAUUUGACAAAUCUCUUGGACUUGAUUG